rnacentral:rRNA from 1 species
UACGUAGGGUGCGAGCGUUGUCCGGAAUUAUUGGGCGUAAAGAGCUUGUAGGCGGUUUGUCGCGUCUGCUGUGAAAUUUCGGGGCUUAACCCCGAACUUGCAGUGGGUACGGGCAGACUAGAGUGUGGUAGGGGAGACUGGAAUUCCUGGUGUAGCGGUGAAAUGCGCAGAUAUCAGGAGGAACACCGAUGGCGAAGGCAGGUCUCUGGGCCAUAACUGACGCUGAGAAGCGAAAGCUAGGGGAGCAAACGGG